UCACAUUCUGAGGACGGCAGCGA
rnacentral:miRNA from 1 species